CAAACUGCAAAGCUUUUUUUAAAAGGGUUUGUUAUGUUUGGAGUUGGAGGCUUGCCGGCUUUGUAACAAGUCGGCUCCUCUCAAAUGCAUUAGCUCGGAUUCUUGCGGAUCGGCUCUCAGUGUGAUAAUUGUUUACGCUGUGACCGUUGAAGUGUUUUGGCCAGCUUCUAA
rnacentral:misc_RNA from 1 species